rnacentral:lncRNA from 1 species
CGCCAUUCGGCCGUGGCCAAUCUCUGCCUCCGUUCCGCGGGGAGCGGCCAAUGGGAGCUCGGAGCCCCUCAGCCAAUCGGGGAGCGGCUUCCCUCAGCGCUGCUCCCGCCCACCGCGCGCCUCAACCAAUCGGAGGGGAGAGUCCCGCGGAGCCGCUCCCGCCCGCCGUGCUCUCCUCAGCCAAUCGGAGAGGAGCAUCUCUCAGCCCACGGCGCGCGCCUCAGCCAACCAGAAGAGGCUCCCUCCCGCUCCCGCCCACCGCGCGCGUCUCAGCCAAUCGGAGGGCACGAAAAGGAGGGCGGGAUGCCCGUCCCGCGCGCCGUCCCCCUCCUCGCUUUUCAUUGGCCGCUCCAGCCGCCAAUCCAGCACCGCCCCGUCUCCCGACGCGCUUCAAAGCCCCGCCCCUUCCCGCUCCGCUCAGCCAAUAGGGAGGCGGUACCCGGCAGGGGGGGGCGUGCCCGGAGCUGUCAGUCACUCCCCGCUGCCUGGCAACGCGUUGCUUGGCGACGGCGGGCUGUUGCCGGGCAACGGGGCGAGUUGGGCGCGGCUCCGCGCAUGCGCAGACGAGACGGGACGCACGAUGUGCACCAGGAGGCGCAGGGAUGGAUGAUGCACAGGGAUGCAUGAGGCUGCAGGGCUUGCACGAGGAUGCACGAGGGUGCACGAGGAGGCGCCGGGUUGCACGACAAUGCACGGGUGUGAGCACACGAGGAUGCACCGGAGAGCAUAAGAAUGCAUGGGGUUGGGGGGCAUGAGGGAUGUGCAGCGUUGCACGGGGAUUCACAGGGAUGGAUGCACGGGGGGGCUGCGGGAUGCAAGAGGGGUGCACGAGGAUGCACGGCGGUGCACGAGGAUGCAUGCACGGGAUGCACGAGGGUGCACAGUGUUGCACAGCGUCGCACGAGGAUGCACGGUGUCGCACGAGGAUGCACGGGGUUGCACAAGGAUGCACGGUGUUGCAUGAGGGUGCAUGCACGAGGUUGCACAGUGUUGCACAGCAUCACACAAGGAUGCACGGGGUUGCACAAGGAUGCACGGGGGUGCACGCGCGUGCACAGCAUUGCACGAUGCAUGAGGAUGGAUGCACAGUGACGCAUGGUGGCUCAUGGUCAGGGUGCAAAAUGGUGCACGAGGGUGCCCGGGGUUACACGAGGAUGCACGAGGGUGCGUGGGGAUGCACGUGGAGGAUGCACUUGGUGCACAACGGUGCACGCGGACGGACGCACGAGGGUGCAGAGGGCGGCACGAGGAUGCACGGGGAUGUGCAAGGAUGCUCAGAGUUGCACGAGGUUGCACGGGGAGGCACGGGGAUGCACAAGUGUGCAGAGGACACACGGGGACACGUGUGGGCAGCCGAAGUCGCCCAGCCCGGUGCACACGGUUGCACGAGGCCGCGUGCCAUUGCACCAGGAUGCACGAGGAUGCAUGGCGAGGCACGGCGUGGCACGGGGAGGCACGAGGCUGCACGGGGAUACAAGGGCGUGCACGGGGGUGGGUGCACGAGGGUGCAAGAGGUUGCACGAGGGCGCAGAGCACACACGGGGACGGCUGCAGAGGGACACCCGAGGACGCCCAAAGCUUCACGGGGACGCCCGCGGGCUCACGAGGAUGCACGGCCCCGUGCACGGGGAUGCACGAGGAUGCACGAGAGGAUGCACGAGGAGGCCGGCUCGGGGCGUCCCCUCGGCUACGCGUAUUCUCCAGCAAUAACAGCGCGGCCGUGUUAUCCGCCCGAGAAUACCCGUCACCGCGGGGCGCGGGGGGGGCAUCCGGGGGGGGGGGGGUGGGGGGGG